rnacentral:rRNA from 1 species
UCCUGUCCAACGUUAAUCGGGGCAGGGUGAGUCGACCCCUAAGGCGAGGCCGAAAGGCGUAGUCGAUGGGAAACAGGUUAAUAUUCCUGUACUUGGUGUUACUGCGAAGGGGGGACGGAGAAGGCUAUGUUGGCCGGGCGACGGUUGUCCCGGUUUAAGCGUGUAGGCUGGUUUUCCAGGCAAAUCCGGAAAACUAAGGCUGAGGCGUGAUGACGAGGCACUACGGUGCUGAAGCAACAAAUGCCCUGCUUCCAGGAAAAGCCUCUAAGCAUCAGGUAACAUCAAAUCGUACCCCAAACCGACACAGGUGGUCAGGUAGAGAAUACCAAGGCGCUUGAGAGAACUCGGGUGAAGGAACUAGGCAAAAUGGUGCCGUAACUUCGGGAGAAGGCACGCUGAUAUGUAGGUGAAGUCCCUCGCGGAUGGAGCUGAAAUCAGUCGAAGAUACCAGCUGGCUGCAACUGUUUAUUAAAAACACAGCACUGUGCAAACACGAAAGUGGACGUAUACGGUGUGACGCCUGCCCGGUGCCGGAAGGUUAAUUGAUGGGGUCAGCGCAAGCGAAGCUCUUGAUCGAAGCCCCGGUAAACGGCGGCCGUAACUAUAACGGUCCUAAGGUAGCGAAAUUCCUUGUCGGGUAAGUUCCGACCUGCACGAAUGGCGUAAUGAUGGCCAGGCUGUCUCCACCCGAGACUCAGUGAAAUUGAACUCGCUGUGAAGAUGCAGUGUACCCGCGGCAAGACGGAAAGACCCCGUGAACCUUUACUAUAGCUUGACACUGAACAUUGAGCCUUGAUGUGUAGGAUAGGUGGGAGGCUUUGAAGUGUGGACGCCAGUCUGCAUGGAGCCGACCUUGAAAUACCACCCUUUAAUGUUUGAUGUUCUAACGUUGACCCGUAAUCCGGGUUGCGGACAGUGUCUGGUGGGUAGUUUGACUGGGGCGGUCUCCUCCUAAAGAGUAACGGAGGAGCACGAAGGUUGGCUAAUCCUGGUCGGACAUCAGGAGGUUAGUGCAAUGGCAUAAGCCAGCUUGACUGCGAGCGUGACGGCGCGAGCAGGUGCGAAAGCAGGUCAUAGUGAUCCGGUGGUUCUGAAUGGAAGGGCCAUCGCUCAACGGAUAAAAGGUACUCCGGGGAUAACAGGCUGAUACCGCCCAAGAGUUCAUAUCGACGGCGGUGUUUGGCACCUCGAUGUCGGCUCAUCACAUCCUGGGGCUGAAGUAGGUCCCAAGGGUAUGGCUGUUCGCCAUUUAAAGUGGUACGCGAGCUGGGUUUAGAACGUCGUGAGACAGUUCGGUCCCUAUCUGCCGUGGGCGCUGGAGAACUGAGGGGGGCUGCUCCUAGUACGAGAGGACCGGAGUGGACGCAUCACUGGUGUUCGGGUUGUCAUGCCAAUGGCACUGCCCGGUAGCUAAAUGCGGAAGAGAUAAGUGCUGAAAGCAUCUAAGCACGAAACUUGCCCCGAGAUGAGUUCUCCCUGACUCCUUGAGAGUCCUGAAGGAACGUUGAAGACGACGACGUUGAUAGGCCGGGUGUGUAAGCGCAGCGAUGCGUUGAGCUAACCGGUACUAAUGAACCGUGAGGCUUAACCUUACAACGCCGAAGGUGUUU